ensembl:lncRNA
GACAAUACGGUGUUGCCUGAAAGCAUCCAGAUCAUCCAUAAGAAGCUAAAGAAAUGUUUGCAACUCUUUGGUUUGGAGUUUCUUGACAUCUCAAACGAGACUUUUGUCUCAGUGGUGUAGUUAGCAGCUACGAAAGGUGAUUUAACUAAAGAGUAUCAUUAUAGACCAAUUAAUCCCAGAUAACCUGUUCUCAUCCCACCUGGAGCUCCUAACAUGAACCGUAAGGGAAGGCUUAGAGCCAUAGUCCAUCAGACUUAUCCAAGUCUGUUAUAAUCUCUUUCCCUGUCAUUUUUUCCUAUAUGUCAGAAUUAGCUAAGUCUUCUGUUGGUAUCUCUCUAGCCAAACUGCUUGAAUACAAUUUUAUUGCUUAGUUGAAGAUCAAUUUAAAUAUUGCUCAAUUUAUCUUUAAAACAAAAUUCUAGCUCUGAAUUCUUUGAUUGAUCCCAUGUUCUUGAUUUUUUUCCUUCCUGCUGGCUUUACUGUGUGGAAUUUCUGAAAGUUAUUUCACAGUUUUUGAAGAGGCAAAAGUUAAGGAGUUGGAUGCAUGUUUAGCAGGUCUCUUUGCCUGUGUGGGCUGCGUGCCCAGAGGUACACGUCGCAGGGCCAGAGGCAGGGUGGCAAGCCCUGUCCCCCCCUGUGCCGUGACUUUGCUGCUGCAGCGCCUGCAAGACAAGGAGGGUGACCGAGCGCAGGCGUACUGCGAGCUGGAGCACGUCCUGCGGGAAGGUGACAGCCGCCCGCCGUGCGGAGUGGUGAACCGGCUGCUGGCUGAGGUGUCCCAGGACCUGACGGCAGCCCAGGGCGUGCCGGACAGCGUGAGGAUGGC